rnacentral:rRNA from 1 species
UACAGAGGGGGCAAGCGUUGUUCGGAAUUACUGGGCGUAAAGGGCGCGUAGGCGGCCUUCUAAGUCGAACGUGAAAUCCCCGGGCUCAACCCGGGAACUGCGUCCGAUACUGGAAGGCUUGAAUCCGGGAGAGGGAUGCGGAAUUCCAGGUGUAGGCGGUGAAAGUGCGUAGAUAUCUGGAGGAACACCGGUGGCGAAGGCGGCGAUCCUGGACCGGCAUUGACGCGUGACGGCGCGAAAGCCAGGGGAGCAAAGCGGGAUUAAGAUGACCCCGAGUAGUCCCGAGACCAA